AUGAUCUUCAUGAUAGAGAGUCUCCUAUAUUGUCACUUUCAUAUACUAGUGGGAAUUUUUCAUUAUAGAACUUGGCUUGUAUAUUCCAACGAUGGGCUUCCUCAAAAUGCCCUAGGUCUUCAUGAGCAAGCAAGUUGGAUGCACACCCACUUAGUUUUCUUUUUGAGUUUUCAUACACUUAUAGCUCUAGUGCAUCCGUUGCACGGCAAUCCCUACUCACUCACAUUGAUAUCUAUUAAUGGGCAUCUCCAUGGCCCGUUGAUACGCCUAGUUGAUGUGAGACUAUCUCCUUCUUUUUGUCUUCUCCACAACCAUCGUCUAUUCCACCUAAAGUGCUAUGUCCAUGGCUCACGCUCAUGUAUUGCGUGA
rnacentral:rRNA from 1 species